rnacentral:rRNA from 1 species
GACGAACGCUGGCGGUGUGCUUAACACAUGCAAGUCGAACGGAAAGGCCCUGCUUUUGUGGGGUUCUCGAGUGGCGAACGGGUGCGUAACACGUGUGUAACCUGCUCUUGACUUUGGGAUAACUUCAGGAAACUAGGGCUAAUACCGGAUCGGAGCUCCCGCUGCAUGGUGGGGGGUGGAACGUCUCGGCGGUUGGGGAUGGACUCGCGGCUUAUCAGCUUGUUAGUGGGGUAGUGGCUUACCAAGGCAUUGACGGGUCGCCGGCCUGGGAGGGUGGCCGGCGACAUUGGGACUGAGAUACGGACCAGACUCCUACGGGAGGCAGCAGUGGGGAAUAUUGCACAAUGGGCGGAAGCCUGAUGCAGCAACGCCGCGUGUGGGAUGACGGCCUGCGGGUUGUAAACCGCUUUCGCCUGUGACGAAGCGUGAGUGACGGUAAUGGGUAAAGAAGCACCGGCUAACUACGUG